rnacentral:snoRNA from 1 species
UGCUGUGGAGGUGAUGAGCUUCAUGUCUCUUCUCUGACGAAACACUGAGGAGAAUUUUCACAACUCUGAUCUCAGCA